AGAGUUGAUCCUGGCUCAGGAUGAACGCUGGCGGCGUGCCUAUACAUGCAAGUCGAGCGAACAGAUGAGGAGCUUGCUCCUUUGACGUUAGCGGCGGACGGGUGAGUAACACGUGGGUAACCUACCUAUAAGACUGGGAUAACUUCGGGAAACCGGAGCUAAUACCGGAUAAUAUUUCGAACCGCAUGGUUCGAUAGUGAAAGAUGGCUCUGCUAUCACUUAUAGAUGGACCUGCGCCGUAUUAGCUAGUUGGUAAGGUAACGGCUUACCAAGGCAACGAUACGUAGCCGACCUGAGAGGGUGAUCGGCCACACUGGAACUGAGACACGGUCCAGACUCCUACGGGAGGCAGCAGUAGGGAAUCUUCCGCAAUGGGCGAAAGCCUGACGGAGCAACGCCGCGUGAGUGAUGAAGGUCUUCGGAUCGUAAAACUCUGUUAUUAGGGAAGAACAAACGUGUAAGUAACUGUGCACGUCUUGACGGUACCUAAUCAGAAAGCCACGGCUAACUACGUGCCAGCAGCCGCGGUAAUACGUAGGUGGCAAGCGUUAUCCGGAAUUAUUGGGCGUAAAGCGCGCGUAGGCGGUUUUUUAAGUCUGAUGUGAAAGCCCACGGCUCAACCGUGGAGGGUCAUUGGAAACUGGAAAACUUGAGUGCAGAAGAGGAAAGUGGAAUUCCAUGUGUAGCGGUGAAAUGCGCAGAGAUAUGGAGGAACACCAGUGGCGAAGGCGACUUUCUGGUCUGUAACUGACGCUGAUGCGCGAAAGCGUGGGGGUCAAACAGGAUUAGAUACCCUGGUAGUCCACGCCGUAAACGAUGAGUGCUAAGUGUUAGGGGGUUUCCGCCCCUUAGUGCUGCAGCUAACGCAUUAAGCACUCCGCCUGGGGAGUACGACCGCAAGGUUGAAACUCAAAGGAAUUGACGG
rnacentral:rRNA from 1 species